rnacentral:rRNA from 1 species
GAUUAACGUUGGCAGUGCGCCUAACACAUGCAAGUCGAGCGAUAUAGCGGCAGACGAGAGAGUAAUAGUAAGGAACUUACCCCCGAGUGAAGGAUAGCCAGCCGAAAGGUUGGGUAAUCCUGCAUAAUAUCGAAAGAUCAAAGCCUUCGGGCGCUUGGGGAGAGGCCUUACUCCUAUCAGCUUGUUGGUGAGGUAAUGGCUCACCAAGGUGAUGACGGGUAGCUGGUCUGAGAGGAUGAUCAGCCUCGAUGGGACUGAGACACGGCCCAUACUCCUACGGGAGGCAGCAGUUGGGGAUUUUGCACAAUGGAGGAAACUCUGAUGCAGCGACACUGCGUGAAGGAUGAAGGUUCUAGGAUCGUAAACUUCUUUUAUCAGGGAGUAAUCUUGAAAGUACCUGAUGAAUAAGGACC